GACGAACGCUGGCGGCGUGCCUAAUACAUGCAAGUUGAGCGCUGAAGGUUGGUACUUGUACCGACUGGAUGAGCAGCGAACGGGUGAGUAACGCGUGGGGAAUCUGCCUUUGAGCGGGGGACAACAUUUGGAAGCGAAUGCUAAUACCGCAUAAAAACUUUAAACACAAGUUUUAAGUUUGAAAGAUGCAAUUGCAUCACUCAAAGAUGAUCCCGCGUUGUAUUAGCUAGUUGGUGAGGUAAAGGCUCACCAAGGCGAUGAUACAUAGCCGACCUGAGAGGGUGAUCGGCCAAAUUGGGACUGAGACACGGCCCAAACUCCUACGGGAGGCAGCAGUAGGGAAUCUUCGGCAAUGGACGAAAGUCUGACCGAGCAACGCCGCGUGAGUGAAGAAGGUUUUCGGAUCGUAAAACUCUGUUGGUAGAGAAGAACGUUGGUGAGAGUGGAAAGCUCAUCAAGUGACGGUAACUACCCAGAAAGGGACGGCUAACUACGUG
rnacentral:rRNA from 1 species